AAGCUAGAUCGUAAGGACUAGUGGAGCGCUUAGAAGUGAGAAUGCCGGCAUGAGUAGCGAAAGAUCAGUGAGAAUCUGAUCCACCGUAUGACUAAGGUUUCCUGGGGAAGGCUCGUCCUCCCAGGGUUAGUCGGGACCUAAGGCGAGGCCGAGAGGCGUAGUCGAUGGAUAACAGGUUGAUAUUCCUGUACUAGUUUAUUUUGUUUGAAUGAUGGAGGGACGCAGGAAGCUAAGGAAUGCACACGACUGGAAAUGUGUGUCCAAGCAACAAGUCUUGAGUUGAGUGAAAUGCUUGAUUCUUUAAGGACAAGUUGUGAUGGGGAGCGAAAUUAAGUAGCGAAGUUCCUGAUGUUACACUGCCAAGAAAAGCUUCUAGUGAGAAAUAAACUACCCGUACCGUAAACCGACACAGGUGGUCGAGGAGAAUAUCCUAAGGUGAGCGAGUGAACUCUCGUUAAGGAACUCGGCAAAAUGACCCCGUAACUUCGGGAGAAGGGGUGCUGACCGUCAGGUCAGCCGCAGUGAAUAGGCCCAAACAACUGUUUAUCAAAAACACAGGUCUCUGCAAAAUCGUAAGAUGACGUAUAGGGGCUGACGCCUGCCCGGUGCUGGAAGGUUAAGAGGAUGAGUUAGCGCAAGCGAAGCCCAGAAUUGAAGCCCCAGUAAACGGCGGCCGUAACUAUAACGGUCCUAAGGUAGCGAAAUUCCUUGUCGGGUAAGUUCCGACCCGCACGAAAGGCGUAAUGAUUUGGGCACUGUCUCAACGAGAGACUCGGUGAAAUUAUAAUACCCGUGAAGAUGCGGGUUACCCGCGACAGGACGGAAAGACCCCAUGGAGCUUUACUGUAGCUUGAUAUUGAGUGUUUGUACAGUUUGUACAGGAUAGGUAGGAGCCGUAGAAAUCGGAACGCUAGUUUCGAUUGAGGCGUUGGUGGGAUACUACCCUAACUGUAUGACCACUCUAACCCGCGCCACUUAGCGUGGCGGGAGACAGUGUCAGGUGGGCAGUUUGACUGGGGCGGUCGCCUCCUAAAGUGUAACGGAGGCGCUCAAAGGUUCUCUCAGAAUGGUUGGAAAUCAUUCGUAGAGUGUAAAGGUAUAAGAGAGCUUGACUGUGAGAUUGACAAAUCGAGCAGGGACGAAAGUCGGACUUAGUGAUCCGGUGGUUCCGUAUGGAAGGGCCAUCGCUCAACGGAUAAAAGCUACCCUGGGGAUAACAGGCUUAUCUCCCCCAAGAGUCCACAUCGACGGGGAGGUUUGGCACCUCGAUGUCGGCUCAUCGCAUCCUGGGGCUGUAGUCGGUCCCAAGGGUUGGGCUGUUCGCCCAUUAAAGCGGUACGCGAGCUGGGUUCAGAACGUCGUGAGACAGUUCGGUCCCUAUCCGUCGCGGGCGCAGGAAAUUUGAGAGGAGCUGUCCUUAGUACGAGAGGACCGGGAUGGACAUACCUCUGGUGUACCAGUUGUGCCGCCAGGCGCAUCGCUGGGUAGCUAUGUAUGGCAGGGAUAAACGCUGAAAGCAUCUAAGUGUGAAGCCCCCCUCGAGAUGAGAUUUCCCAUUCCUUUAU
rnacentral:rRNA from 1 species